AGACUUACUAUGCUUAUCAAAUAUUAUUUUAUUAUUAUAUUGGCUUUUGACGAGUGACAAUUUUGGAUCAGCAUGGCUCGUUCCUUCUCUCUCCAUUAUAUAUAUAAUUAAGGUGUGCAAGUUUGGUAGAUGAAAGUGGCAAAAGAGGGUUGAGCUUGCAAGUUUGAAACAAAAAAUGGGCAUUCCUAAUACAAUUUUGAGAAAAUUCCCUCUUGCAUUAUUUGCUCUAUUUAUACUUCUCUACACAAAUCGCUGUCGAGCUGCUCUUCUUGCCAAGAGCAACAACACUUUCCAUUGCAAUGGCCGAGAUGAUUGCUUCAUCUCGGACGACUUGGAAUUGGAGUCGUUUAUGGAGUCCUACGCUAGCAUUUAUAGUAGCCGAAUGCUUGCCGCUAAUGUUAAAAUUGGAGUUAUCCCGCAGGAUAGCAGUGAUACGCCAAAAGUUUGCCCAAACUCACCGCAGUAUUGCUAUCCUCCAAGGACUCCAGAAAGAUGCAAGCAGUCAUACAACAGAAACUGCUAGCUCUUAAUUAUGAAGAACAAGGUAGAAGCCAGCCAUUCCCCACUUAUGAUCAGUAUGUGUGCUUUUGCAGUUUCCUUCCUAGUUGUAAUGGCUUUUACAAAUCAAUCAUGUGAGUGCUAUUAGUUCCAUUUUUAACAAUUUUUAGACAUCAUUUAUAUCAUAAAUGUAUUUGCCUGUUUAUAUAUGAUUAUAUGACAGCAUUUACUUUAUUAGUCUA